GACGAACGCUGGCGGCGUGCUUAACACAUGCCAGUCGAACGGAAAGGCCCUGCUUUUGUGGGGUGCUCGAGUGGCGAACGGGUGAGUAACACGUGAGUAACCUGCCCGUGACUUUGGGAUAACUUCAGGAAACUGGGGCUAAUACCGGAUAGGAGCUCCUGCUGCAUGGUGGGGGUUGGAAAGGUUCGGCGGUUGGGGAUGGACGCGCGGCUUAUCAGCUUGUGGGGGGGGUAGUGGCGUACCAAGGCUUUGGCGGGUAGCCGGCCUGAGAGGGUGACCGGCCACAUUGGGACUGAGAUACGGCCCAGACUCCUACGGGAGGCAGCAGGGGGGAAUAUUGCACAAUGGGCGGAAGCCUGAUGCAGCAACGCCGCGUGCGGGAUGACGGCCUUCGGGUUGUAAACCGCUUUCGCCUGUGACGAAGCGUGAGUGACGGUAAUGGGUAAAGAAGCACCGGCUAACUACGUG
rnacentral:rRNA from 1 species